UACGUAGGGGGCAAGCGUUGUCCGGAAUUAUUGGGCGUAAAGCGCGCGCAGGCGGUUUGUUAAGUCUGGUGUUUAAGACUGGGGCUCAACCCCGGUUCGCACUGGAAACUGGGAGACUGGAGUGCAGGAGAGGAAAGCGGAAUUCCACGUGUAGCGGUGAAAUGCGUAGAGAUGUGGAGGAACACCAGUGGCGAAGGCGGCUUUCUGGCCUGUAACUGACGCUGAGGCGCGAAAGCGUGGGGAGCAAACAGG
rnacentral:rRNA from 1 species